rnacentral:rRNA from 1 species
GGAUGGUAGGUGAACGACUUGGAAUGGUCGGCCGUAGAGGGUGAGAGUCCCGUAAUCGAAAUUGUUCUGUCCGUGGUGUGGCCACCCGAGUAGCACGGGGCUCGUGGAAUCUCGUGUGAAUCUGCCAGGACCACCUGGUAAGUCUAAAUACUUCUUAGUGACCGAUAGUGAAUCAGUACCGUGAGGGAAUGGUGAAAAGUACCCCGGGAGGGGAGUGAAAUAGUACCUGAAACCGGGCGCUUGCAAGCCGUCAGAGCCUGCCACGCGU